rnacentral:misc_RNA from 1 species
UAGCAAGUAAAAUGGACUUGAAGGAG